AUACCUUUCUCGGCCUUUUGGCUAAGAUCAAGUGUAGUAUCUGUUCUUAUCAGUUUAAUAUCUGAUAUGUGGUCUAUCGGAUCACAUGAUAUUAACUUUAUUUUUUAAGGGAAGAAACCUGUCAAAAUAGCUUGCUAUUUGGAUUUCUAAGAGUCGCCCACGCGUUGCACUAUUGCAUGGGAUUAGGCUUAACCCGC
rnacentral:snRNA from 2 species